rnacentral:rRNA from 1 species
UACGAGGGGGGCAAGCGUUGUUCGGAAUUAUUGGGCGUAAAGGGUGCGUAGGCUGUGCGGUAAGUCACCUGUGAAAACUCUGGGCUCAACCCAGAGGCUGCUAACGAAACUGCCGUGCUAGAGUGUGAGAGAGGCGAGUGGAAUUACGGGUGUAGCGGUGAAAUGCGUAGAUAUCCGUAGGAACAUCCGAGGCGAAAGCGGCUCGCUGGAUCACAACUGACGCUGAGGGACGAAAGCUAGGGGAGCAAACAGG